ACGAACGCUGGCGGCGUGCUUAACACAUGCAAGUCGAACGAUGAAGCUGGAGCUUGCUCCGGUGGAUUAGUGGCGAACGGGCGAGUAACACGUGAGAAAUCUGCCCUUGACUCUGGGAUAACUGCGGGAAACUGUAGCUAAUACCGGAUACUUUCCUUGGUGGGCAUCCACUGGGGAAGAAAGAAUUUCGGUCAAGGAUGAUCUCGCGGCCUAUCAGCUUGUUGGUGAGGUAAUGGCUCACCAAGGCGACGACGGGUAGCCGGCCUGAGAGGGUGACCGGCCACACUGGGACUGAGACACGGCCCAGACUCCUACGGGAGGCAGCAGUGGGGAAUAUUGCACAAUGGGCGCAAGCCUGAUGCAGCAACGCCGCGUGAGGGACGAAGGCCUUCGGGUUGUAAACCUCUUUUAGCAGGGAAGAAGCGAAAGUGACGGUACCUGCAGAAAAAGCACCGGCUAACUACGUGCCAGCAGCCGCGGUAAUACGUAGGGUGCAAGCGUUGUCCGGAAUUAUUGGGCGUAAAGAGCUCGUAGGCGGUUUGUCACGUCUGCUGUGAAAUUUCGAGGCUCAACCUCGAACUUGCAGUGGGUACGGGCAGGCUAGAGUGCGGUAGGGGAGAUGGGAAUUCCUGGGUGUAGCGGUGGGAAUGCGCAGAUAUCAGGAGGAACACCAAUGGCGAAGGCACAUCUCUGGGCCGUAACUGACGCUGAGGAGCGAAAGCGUGGGGAGCAAACAGGGAUUAGAUACCCCUGGGUAGUCCACGCCCGUAAACGGUGGGUGCUAGCUGUGGGCCACAUUCCACGUGGUCCGUGACGAAGUUAACACAUUAAGCACCCCGCCUGGGGAGUACGGCCGCAAGGCUAAAACUCAAAGGAAUUGACGGGGGCCCGCACAAGCGGCGGAGCAUGCGGAUUAAUUCGAUGCAACGCGAAGAACCUUACCAAGGCUUGACAUAUAGAGGAAAAGUGCAGAAAUGUACUCCCCGCAAGGUCUCUAUACAGGUGGUGCAUGGUUGUCGUCAGCUCGUGUCGUGAGAUGUUGGGUUAAGUCCCGCAACGAGCGCAACCCUCGUCCUAUGUUGCCAGCACGUAAUGGUGGGAACUCAUGGGAUACUGCCGGGGUCAACUCGGAGGAAGGUGGGGAUGACGUCAAAUCAUCAUGCCCCUUAUGUCUUGGGCUUCACGCAUGCUACAAUGGCCGGUACAGAGGGCUGCAAUACCGUAAGGUGGAGCGAAUCCCAAAAAGCCGGUCUCAGUUCGGAUUGAGGUCUGCAACUCGACCUCAUGAAGUCGGAGUCGCUAGUAAUCGUAGAUCAGCAACGCUACGGUGAAUACGUUCCCGGGCCUUGUACACACCGCCCGUCAAGUCACGAAAGUCGGUAACACCCGAAGCCGGUGGCCUAACCGUAAGGAAGGAGCCGUCGAAGGUGGGAUUGGUGAUUGGGACUA
rnacentral:rRNA from 1 species